rnacentral:rRNA from 1 species
GAUGAACGCUAGCUACAGGCUUAACACAUGCAAGUCGAGGGGCAGCAUGAACUUAGCUUGCUAAGUUUGAUGGCGACCGGCGCACGGGUGAGUAACACGUAUCCAACCUGCCGAUGACUCGGGGAUAGCCUUUCGAAAGAAAGAUUAAUACCCGAUGGCAUAGUUCUUCCGCAUGGUAGAACUAUUAAAGAAUUUCGGUCAUCGAUGGGGAUGCGUUCCAUUAGGUUGUUGGCGGGGUAACGGCCCACCAAGCCUUCGAUGGAUAGGGGUUCUGAGAGGAAGGUCCCCCCACAUUGGAACUGAGACACGGUCCAAACUCCUACGGGAGGCAGCAGUGAGGAAUAUUGGUCAAUGGACGAGAGUCUGAACCAGCCAAGUAGCGUGAAGGGAUGACUGCCCUAUGGGUUGUAAACUUCUUUUAUAUGGGAAUAAAGUGAGCCACGUGUGGCUUUUGUAUGUACCAUACGAAUAAGGAUCGGCUAACUCCGUG